rnacentral:misc_RNA from 1 species
CCGUGUUUACAACUCCCAAACCCCUGUGAACAUACCUUUAUGUUGCCUCGGCGGAUCAGCCCGCGCCCCGUAAAACGGGACGGCCCGCCGCAGGAAACCCUAAACUCUGUUUUUAGUGGAACUUCUGAGUAUAAAAAACAAAUAAAUCA